rnacentral:rRNA from 1 species
CCCCUAGACGUUCUGGGCUGCACGCGCGCUACAAUAAUACGCACAGCGAGUAUCACCGAGCUCGAAAGGGCAAGGUAAACAAUAGAAAAGGUACUGUAAUGGUUAUAGAUCCUUGUAAUUAUUGAUCUUCAACGAGGAAUUCCUAGUAAGUAUGUGUCAUCAUCACGCACUGAUUACGUCCCUGCCCUUUGUACACACCGCCCGUCGCUCCUCCCGAUUGGGUGAGCCGAUGAAACUCUCGGAUGUAGGCUAUUCAUAGCCCGCAGAAGAGAUUUGAAUCGUAGCGCUUAGAGGAAGGAGAAGUCGUAACA